CUACGGGCCGCUGCAGUGGGGAAUAUUGCACAAUGGGCGCAAGCCUGAUGCAGCCAUGCCGCGUGUAUGAAGAAGGCCUUCGGGUUGUAAAGCACUUUCAGCGGGGAGGAAGGUAGUAAAGUUAAUACCUUUUCUCAUUGACGUUACCCGCAGAAGAAGCACCGGCUAACUCCGUGCCAGCAGCCGCGGUAAUACGGAGGGUGCAAGCGUUAAUCGGAAUUACUGGGCGUAAAGCGCACGCAGGCGGUUUGUUAAGUCAGAUGUGAAAUCCCCGGGCUCAACCUGGGAACUGCAUCUGAUACUGGCAAGCUUGAGUGUCGUAGAGGGGGGUAGAAUUCCAGGUGUAGCGGUGAAAUGCGUAGAGAUCUGGAGGAAUACCGGUGGCGAAGGCGGCCCCCUGGACGAAGACUGACGCUCAGGUGCGAAAGCGUGGGGAGCAAACAGGAUUAGAUACCCCUGUAGUC
rnacentral:rRNA from 1 species